UUCUGCAAUCAGCAAAAUAAACUGUAUUUUCCUGUGCUCAAACCUGCCAAUCUAAAGGAAACGCUGUGUAUGGAGUUUGAGGUCAUUUGUGAAUUAGGCUACGAUAGACCUAUAGUCUAAAUAACAUUCGUAUUAUGCUUGUUAUAGAGUGCGUGACGUCACGUGCACUAUUGCCGAUGACGCAGUUGUCACGGCGACCGUCACAGCCCUAAAGACACUCAAGCCUUAUUCGACACCAGGGAAAGCAGGUCAGCUGCAUUCCUUCAUAAUUGGGUAUUCAAACAGUUAUCUAACAAUAUCUAGCAGUUAUGCAUGAACACAUGCAAGCACACAGAGAAACGAAGAGUGACCUAAUACAGGCUUGUUAACACUGAGCUAUUUUGUUCUGCUUUGGUACUACAAUGAUAUUGCAGUGAUCAGUGGUGUCAUUCUGUUAAAAAAAGAGAGCAUGAUGGAAGGAAAAAAAGAGGAAUGGAACGAGACAGCCAUCUGUCCACAGCAGCAGCAUUUAGCUGAGCAUUAGUAGCACAUGUGCACUCUGCAUAACACACCACUGCCUUCUUUUUCCUCACGACACGCCAGACGGAAAAACAGACAACAAACAACAAAAAUGUCUGUGAAUUAUCACAUGCUGCCUCAGUAGGACAGGGAAAUGUCACUGCAGAAAUCCCUUUUCAACAUGCUGUAGUCAAACAUAAUGGAACACUGUAUGUCUGCCCACUAAAGACCCAAUAACAACAACAACACCCAAAAAUUAUGCAAGAACAGUUUGACAAUGUUCAGUUCACUGGAGAAUGCUUUGAUUUAAAGUACAGACAAUA